rnacentral:rRNA from 1 species
GUGAACGCUGGCGGUAGGCCUAACCCAUGCAAGUCGAACGGCAGCACAGUAAGAGCUUGCUCUUACGGGUGGCGAGUGGCGGACGGGUGAGGAAUACAUCGGAAUCUACUUUUUCGUGGGGGAUAACGUAGGGAAACUUACGCUAAUACCGCAUACGACCUACGGGUGAAAGCAGGGGAUCUUCGGACCUUGCGCGAUUGAAUGAGCCGAUGUCGGAUUAGCUAGUUGGCGGGGUAAAGGCCCACCAAGGCGACGAUCCGUAGCUGGUCUGAGAGGAUGAUCAGCCACACUGGAACUGAGACACGGUCCAGACUCCUACGGGAGGCAGCAGUGGGGAAUAUUGGACAAUGGGCGCAAGCCUGAUCCAGCCAUACCGCGUGGGUGAAGAAGGCCUUCGGGUUGUAAAGCCCUUUUGUUGGGAAAGAAAAGCAGCAGGUUAAUACCCCGCUGUUCUGACGGUACCCAAAGAAUAAGCACCGGCUAACUU